AGAAAAAUAUCAGCUGCAGCAUUGAAGAAACAAAUCAAAACAUACAAGGAUUUGUUCAACACAAGAAAUAUGUUCAAGAGUUUCAUGCAUUUUUAAUGUUACUUACAGCAGGACUGAUACUGGUUUAGAGAAUUCACAUUAUGUGGCGUCUACUCUUGAGGAACACUGCAAUUGUUCCACUUGUACAUUAUAUCUCAAAAGAUCACACUUUGACAGUGCAGGAGUGUACAGCAUCAAAAUAACAUUGUCUCUAGACACAUCAGAUAUCAGUCAACACAUUGUAUAUGAAAACAGCAGUUUUCUACAAUUUUUAAAAGAAGAUGACAGCCAUAGAAGAGACAAGACAAGUGCACGAUUCUUUCAGACAGUAUCUAUUUCUUCAGUGGCAGCAGUUCUAUUUUUGAUGGUGUCCUCAGCUCUUAUUUAUAGAGCAGUUCUUCAGAAGAGAAAGAAACAGAGGAAAAUAGAAAGUGGUAACUCAGUGAAAUACAUUCUCUUUAAGAGAAACAGAGGAAAAUAGAAAGUGGUAACUCAGUGAAAUACAUAACUACUUAUGAGAAUAGAUUGUCCAUACUGUCAGACCACAACUAUGAAUAUAUGCAACCAGAAGAUCACUAUGACAGAUGUGUUGACUUGGUGCAGGAUGAUGAGGACAGACAGCAGGAUCAGCCCAUGCAAGACAUAGUUGAUACAGAAUACAUCACCCCCAUAGAAACAGAACAUAUUCAUACUCCAACAUAAAGAGUGUUUGCAUGGCAAACUUUACACUGAAAUGAUUAAAAAAACAAACUUUUAUCCUAUAAAGAAAAUACAAGCUUCAUCGAUUAAAGGAAGCUGAAAGGACUCAUUGUUCCCUUGGAAAUUAAUGUUUUUGCAUGUGCUUCAUAGAUUGUGUUUAAUUAAUGCAUCACUUAUUGAAAUGUUUCAACGUCAUAAUUACACUGAAAAAGUUUGAAUUGUUUGUGAAAUGAACAAUUAAAAAAAAAAUUGUUUUGGAAUAAAGCUUAUUGUUAUUAUUUAACUUAAAAGAGCACUUUUUACUCUUCCUUCCAUUCUUGCUAAAGAUAUUACAAGAAAAAGGUUCCCCUUUCAGACCUUGUGGUCAAUAGGGCAGAUGAUGUGAAAGUCAUUUGUUUCUGUAGCCUACGAUUAACGAGGGUGUCUUGUUCCCAGCACAACGACCAAUCGCCUUUACUUUUCCCCAACUAAUGUCAGGUACCCAUUAGAGCUGAGUGGACUCAAAGGCGCCCUGAGAUCCCUAAAUUAAAAAUCCUGUCUUCUUCAGGAUUCAAACCUGGGACCCCUGGUUCUGAAGCCGAGCGCUUUACCGCUCAGCCACCAUGCCUAUCAUAACAAAAAAAAACAUAACAAUUACUUUUUAAGAAAAGACAAUCUCGUUUAGAAAGCUUAAUAACUUUUAAUAACUAAUGAAUGUUAGAUUAAAAAACAAUGAAAGAACAUUUUUUACC